ensembl:rRNA 5S_rRNA 5S ribosomal RNA
GUCGACGGCCAUACCACCCUGAACACGCCCGAUCUCUGAUCUCGGAAGCUAAGUAGGGUCGGGCGUGGUUAGUACUUGGACGGGAGACCGCCUGGGAAUACAGGGUGCUGUAGGCU